AUUGAACGCUGGCGGCAGGCCUAACACAUGCAAGUCGAACGAGUGGCGGACGGGUGAGUAAUGUCUGGGAAACUGCCUGAUGGAGGGGGAUAACUACUGGAAACGGUAGCUAAUACCGCAUACCAUCAGAUGCGCCCAGAUGGGAUUAGCGUGGUGGUGGGGGAACGGCUCAACAAGGCGACGAUCCCUAGCUGGUUCGAGAGGAUGACAAGCCACACUGGAACUUAGACACGGCCCAGACUCCUACGGUAGGCAGCAGUGGGGAUUAUUUCCCAAUUGGCUCAAGCCUGAUGCAGCCAUGCCGCGUGUAUGAAGAAGGCCUUCGGGUUGUAAAGUACUUUCAGCGGGGAGGCGUUACCCGCAGAAGAAGCACCGUCUAACUCCGUGCCAGCAGCCGCGGUAAUAC
rnacentral:rRNA from 1 species